GUAUUUGCUUCAACAGUACGUAUACAAAAAUUGGAACAAUGUAGAGAAUAUUAGCAUGGUCCCUGGGCAAGAUGACAUACAAAUUCAUGAAGUGUUCCAUAUUUUU
ensembl:snRNA U6 U6 spliceosomal RNA